rnacentral:lncRNA from 1 species
UAUAAUCUAACAUCCUAGCAUACUUGUCCACAAUCAUGGCCUUAUCAUGGAUACACAACCUCAAUUACGAUAUUUAUAUUACAUGUCCCAUUCAAAGUUGGUACACAACUUGGGUAACCCCUGAUUUAUUUUCCCACGUAAAAAAUGGUUAAAAAUUAACAGAACAAAUUGCAGCUCCGUGGGAGACAUGAACAAAAGCAUUGGUCAACCACCUAUCUGAAGAUUGUUAAGGAUAGCUAAUUAGGUUUCUAAUUCUACACCAAACAGAGGAUUAUUGUUGAUUCAUUACUCAAUAAUAUAUCAAUAUCACUUUCUUCCCAAUGGAUUGGAUUCUUCUGCAUUUGAGUGCUUAUUUCUACUCCCAUUUUCAAUUUCAACAAUUCCAAAUCCAUUCUGUGUUAAAUUGUGACUCAAAUUAGGAGUCUUUGGAAGUGGCAGACAAAAGAAAAGGGAAUCAAAGUUGUAUUUUGCAAAUUAAGGAAAGAAAAUCUUAUUGGAGCCAUGUGGAAUUAUGAAAGAAUCAAAUUGGAAUCAAUUCCAAAGAAAUAGGGAAAGUGGCGUGUUCCCUAUUCACGUGUCUCAACGGAUUUUUUUUCUCUUUUUUCUUUGUUUACAUGUUUCCUUUUUUCUUAAUUUCCAUCUUUUGCCAAUUUCUAGGACUAGACUCGUGUACUAUAAAUAUAGGACUCUCCUUUCAAUAUUGUUGAAGUCAAUUGCUGUAAUUCUCUCCUUUCAUAGUGAUUGAAUAAAAUAACAUCGUUCCUCUGCCAGUUUCCUUUUAUUUUGCAUCUUUUACUUUAAUCUUGUUCUUGGUUAUUUUGUGAUCUUUAUUUAUACUUCAUAUUGGGUUCAUCAAAUCUCAAUUCUUGCGUUGUCUUCAUUGGUCCCAACAAGUGAUAUUAGAGCAAGGUCGCAAGUUCUUCGUGAUUCAAUUUAGGCUUUUGAGAGAUGACUUCGAUGAAGUAUGAUAUUCCGCUGCUAGAUCGCAAUACAAGGUUUUCGCUAUGGCAAGUAAAGAUGAGGGCUGUGUUAACGCAGAUAGAACUUGAUGAUGUUUUGCUGGGUUUUGAGAAGAUGCCAACAAAUUGGUCUAUGGAGGAGAAGCAACGGAAGGAUAGGAAGGCUACAUCAUUGAUUCAUCUUCAUUUGUCCAACAAUAUACCGCAGGAUGUCUUGAAGGAAAAGACAGUGGUUGCUUUGUGACUCAAGCUAGAGCAAUUGUGCAUGACAAAGAGUCUAACGAGCAAACUGACUCUAAAACUGAAGUUGUAUUCUCAUCGCAUGGUGGAAGGAGGGUCACUACAGGACCAUCUUGCUAUGUUCAAGGAAAUCGUUGCAGAUCUGAAGACGUUGGAAGUAAAGUAUGAUGAAGAGGGUCUGGCCUUGAUCCUAUUGUGUUCAUUACCUGGCUCUUAUUCGUCGUUUCGUGAUACUAUAUUAUAUAGUCAUGACACGCUAACCAUUGAGGAUGUAUACAACGCCCUGUUCUCAAAGGAGAAGAUGUAGUUGUUGGUUGGAGAUCCUACAUCUAGAGGUAUGGAUGCUCUGGUUACUCAUGGUGGACGACAGAGCAGUACGUCAAAGGUGAAAUUCAGCAAUUUGUUUUGCUUCUACUACAAGUGGAAAGGACACUUGAAGAAAGAUUGUGACAAGUUGCAGCGUAAAGGUAAUUUACAUGCAAAUCAUUCGGGGCAAUCUUGUAAUUUGGACGAAACCAAUGUAGUUGAAAACUUUUCUGAUGAUGGAGAUGUGAUGUUGGCUAUAUCUGAUGAGGAAUCCAAAUCUAGAGAAGUGGAUUCUGGAUUCUGCAUGUUUGUAUCAUAUGUGUCCUAAUAGGCCGUUAUUCCAGACAUAUGAAACGGUGAAACAAGGUGGAGUUGUCAUGGAAAACAUCCAAUCUUGCCGGGUUGUAGGAAUCAGUCGGGUCAGAUUGAGGCUACAAAAUGGGACAUUAAAGACACUUGAUCAGGUUCGCCAUGUUCCAAACUUGACAAAAAAUCUCAUAUCGCUGAGUACCCUGGAUGCAAAAGGGUAUAAAUUUUCUGGUGGAGGUGGAGUCCUGAAGGUUCAGAAAGGUGUUCGAGUUGUACUGGAGGGACGGAUGAGAUCCUAGUUGUACAUUUUGUAGGGAAGCGCAGAACCAGUUCAGAGACAUUUGAACAAGUUUAGUACUGUGGUGGAAAUUCAGUUUGGUACAUUACUUCUUGUGUUAAGCUCUGGGUCAAUUUCGAACUUUGCUAGUGGGAGUGUUGGUGAUUCUGCUUUACCACCAAUUUCAGCAGAUACACUUUGUUCUUGUGCUAGUGGACUCAUGGAGUGUAGGUUUAGUGGUGUCAAUAAUGUCUGUAAUGCCUUAGGGAUCAUUGAAGGUGACACUUCUAGCAAGGGGCCUUCUGAUCGUGCAUUUGGUGUGGUUUCUGCUACAGGGUGUGUUUCGACCCUGUCUAGUGAUUAUUAAUUCCAGGUGAAAUUUUGGGAACCCGAGUUUGGGUUCGGGAGUCGCUUGUGGACGCCGGGCGGGGAAACAUGUUUUCGUGGAGAGUUUGGUUACUGUGUCGAGGAGCUUGGUUAUUCUGAUGCAGACGGAUCAUUUUUCCAGGUGGAGAAAUUUGGAGCUUCAUUCAUUGCACCAGAAUUUGAAUCAAGGUGGAAAUUGUUAAAUUGUGACUCAAAUUAGGAGUCUUUGGAAGUGGCAGAGAAAAGGAAAGGGAAUCAAAGUUGUAUUUUGCAAAUUAAGGAAAGAAAAUCUUAUUGGAGCCAUGUGGAAAUAUGAAAGAAUCAAAUUGGAAUCAAUUCCAAAGAAAUAGGGAAAGUGGCGUGUUCCCUUUUCACGUGUCUAUGCAGAUUUUUUUCUCUUUUUUCUUUGUUUACACGUUUCUUUUUUUCUUAAUUUCCAUCUUUUGCCAAUUCCUAGGACUAGACUCAUGUAGUAUAAAUAUAGGACUCCUCUUCAAUAUUGUUGAAGCCAAUUGCUGUAAUUAUCUCCUUUCAUAGUGAUUGAAUAAAAUAAUAUCGUUCCUCUGCCAGUACCCUUUUAUUUUGCAUCUUUUACUUUAAUCUUGUUCUUGGUUAUUUUGUGAUCUUUAUUUAUACUUCAUAUUGGGUUCAUCAAAUCUCAAUUCUUGCGUUGUCUUCAUCGGUCCCAACA